rnacentral:rRNA from 1 species
AUCGAACGCUGGCGGCGGGCCUAACACAUGCAAGUCGAACGGAGUGGCGGACUGGCGAGUAAUGUAUAGCUAAUCUGCUCUCCUCUAGAGGACAACAGUUGGAAACGGCUGCUAAUACUCUAUAGUGUAGGAUGAGGCUAUAUUGUAUCAGCUAGUUGGUGAGGUAAUGGCUCACCAAGGCUAUGACGCAUAACUGGUCUGAGAGGAUGAUCAGUCACACGGGAACUGAGACACGGUCCAGACUGCUACGGGAGGCAGCAGUAGGGAAGAUGGCUCAAUGGGGGAAACCCGGAAGGGGUAACGCCGCGUGGAGGAUUACACUUAUCGGAGCGUAAACUCCUUUUGGUAGGGAAGCGGUACCUAACGAAUAAGCACCGGCUAACUACGUGCCAGCCGCCGCGGUAAUAC